AGUGGGGCUCAGGAUUUGGGAUGUGCCAGGUCCUCCCCAUCCCCUCCCAAAUCCUCAGAGUGGGGCUCAGGAUUUGGGAUGUGCCAGGUCCUCCUCAUCCCCUCCCAAAUCCCCAGAGCGGGGCUGAGGAUUUGGGACGUGCCAGGUCCUCCUCAUCCCCUCCCAAAUCCCCAGAGCAGGGCUGAGGAUUUGGGACAGGCCAGGUCCUCCUCAUCCCCUCCCAAAUCCCCAGAGCAGGGCUGAGGAUUUGGGAUGUGCCAGGUCCUCCCCAUCCCCUCCCAAAUCCCCAGAGUGGGGCUGAGGAUUUGGGAUGUGCCAGGUCCUCCUCAUCCCCUCCCAGAUCCCUGUGGCUCCGCUCCAGGCCAGAAUUCCCGGCUGCAAUUCCUGGAGCACCGAGAUUCCCAGACACAUCUCCUUGCCUCCAGAACUCCCAGCGUUUUCCAGAAGCACCAGAGGCAGGAGGAGGUGCUGCCCCAAGGCUCCCUGACCUCCAGGGUUGAUGUGGGCAGGAAGGGAUGGGAGCAAAGCAUUCCUGACCCCCGGGAUUCCCAGCAGGAAUGCCCUGGGGGGUUCUGGGGUGCUCCCCCUGUGCUCCUUGGGCAGAAGGAGCCUUCUCCACCCUCCUCCUCCGUAGGUUUGGGGCUGAGGAGCAGUGGAAGACUGGUGGCAUUGCAAGGGCCACCGUGUCACUCUGGCUGUCACCUUUCCCUUGGAGAAGGGGAUGGCAAAGCCCUGCUGAGCGCUGGAUGCACAGGGAGAGACCUCAGAAUAAAGUGACAAAGCAAAAGCAGUGGCCCUGGCUGUGUGACAACAGUGAAAUUAUAAUAUAAUAAUAAUAAUUAGUCAUUUUAUCUCCUAUUUUUAAUACAGCAGAUGGACCCACGUUUUGUUUGGGGCAAGGGGGGGAAAAAAAAAAAAACCAAACUCAAAACAACUCCUUGUUGUAAGAAGUGUUUCCCUCCUGAACUCUGCCAUUCCUCUCCUUGAAAGGGUGAAAGGCUCUUCAGUGCAACCUCCAAGGGAAGGAGACUCCACAGGGAAGGAAUCCUUUACUUUGAGAUAAACGGAAGCGGGAAGAAGUCAAAUCCCAAAGGCUGGCAGGAUUAAAAAGGGGAGAGGGGAGAGAAAGAAAGGAACAGCAGAGUUAAAGGACACCUUUGUGCUUUUUGGAGUGUUUCUCACACCCUGGCCAUACUCUAAAACGUUCCCUUCAAUCCAAAGUAAAGAAUUAAAUAAAAAAAUCAGGAAGCAGGACUGCAGGGAGAAGCUGGCUGAGAUAAAGCACACCAGUGGAAGGGAUCUGCGUGGGAAAACAGCACCUUACUGCUCUCACAAGGAUUUGCUGCUGCCUUGCAAAGACACACACACAGACACAAAAAAACCCCAAAAAAAAAUACCCCAGGAGAAAGCAGAGCAUCCCCCACCCCCUCCUGUCAUGGAUCAAGGAAUAAAGUCACUCCUUGGGGUGACUCUUGGGUCAGUUUUAGUAAUACUGCAAGGAAAGGGUCCCAAGCACUUGGCCUAAAAGGAAAAGGGAGGCACAGUUUUAGAAAAAAGAUGCUUUUUUUUUUUUUCCUUUGAUAUAAAAAUAGACCAUAGUCUCAUUAGCAAUUAACAAAAUUGGCUGCCUUGGUAGAAAAUUAGAAAAGUCAAAGCCAGACAGGUCUCCAUCUCCCCAGCACUGGUGGCUGGAGCUGAACUGGGCAGACUGGGCAGGAGGUUUUGCACCCAAACACACAAAGCAGAUUAAAAAAAAGGGGAUUUUGGGGUUUGUUUUUUUUUCUUUUGGGAUCCACCUCUGCCCUGGCCAAAGUGCUGAGCCCCCAGGGGACCCCCUGUGCUGCCAGCACCCCCCACCCCCCGAGGAUGCCAAUGACAAAGCAGGGCCAGACAAGGAGAGCUCAGGGAAGGAACGUGGUGUAUUUCCGCGGAGCCGGGAGCACACAGCUCUCAUUCCAAACAGUCCUAGCAGCAAUUCCAGUUCCUCACCAUUUGUAGGACAAUUUUGUAACCCACGUGGAGCUGGGGAAUUAUUACAACUUCAUGCCAAACUUUUAAUCCAUGAAAACUACAGAUUCUUAACCUUUGGGAGCUUCGGUCACUUUAGGCAAGUUUUCCCUUAAGUGUCAAACGCUGGCUUCAAAUAAGCAGAAUUUUUUUUUUUUUUUUUUUUUUUGUUUGUUUUUUUUUUGUUUGUUUGUUUGUUUUUGUUAUCCAUUUGUUACAUU